GUUGGGACUACACAUGUGCCAUCACACUCAGCUUUUGUCUGUGAUCCAUGUGGAAACCAUUCUUCUGUGUAUAGUGUAAGGGAAACCACCUUUGCUUUGACAUAUGUGUGUAAACGGUAUUGUCUGUCGAACGUUGCCUCGUGAGUCAUAAAAAGAAACAUCCCAGCCUCUUUGUUAAGAGAAGUGCUGUCAAACUAUUUACAUUCUUACGAACAGACACAAGUCUACACAAAAUGACAAGCGCACAUUUCGGUGGCAACAGAUCAGCUGCUUCAGAAAUUUAUCUGGCUUGGGGAAGAGAUAUUAUUAACAAAAGCAAAUAUGGAACCACUCUGAGGAAUUACCAGCAGCUGAUGUAAAUUUUCACCUCAGAAACAGACCAGGUCCAGGGAGAAAAAAACUAGAGAGGUUUUGAUUCUCCUCCCACCGUCUGCCUUUCUUUUCCAAAGAAUAGAGAGCCUGCCCCAACUGGAAAAUCAGGUAGCUUCUCCCACACAGGAAGGGAUCUGCUGCCUGAGGCAGAAAGGGCUGCUUGGGUGCCUCUGUCCCCAGUGCCCCUUCAUUUCUGUCUUCCUACAUCCUCUUGAGAUUACAUGUUGAUUACAUUAUAUUCUAUUGUAUCGUACUACAUAAUACAGCAACACUGAAAGAAUGAAAGGAAACGGGAAAGGGAGUGAAUUGGCCUUUGCACCCUGAGGAUAGGAAGAGGGUGGUGGAUACUGGGACAGCCUGGUGGACCCAGCCCUCCCAGGGUUAUUAGAUGACAUUUGUCACGUACCAUUCCUGGCAGCAGCGGCAGGUCAGGGUGACCAGGAUCACCUAGGAAUGCAUGUACUUCUGACAGUCAUGAAACCAAGGCAUGAGAGCAAGAGAUAGUUUUGGGGUCUGGUAUCCAAAAAUUCAAAUUAGUAAAUUUCAUGUUAUGUGUAUUUUAUCACAAUUAAAAAAAAAAACUCAAACUUUAAACAUUCAGAGAUUUGUUUAAGGGGUAUAUGGCUCUGGUAUCCAUAAUGCUGUAAAAAGGGAAAUCUUUUAGUCCCUGAGGUGGACAGCAGCAAGUCCUAAGUCCUCCAAUCUGAUAAGCAUAGUGGGACAGAGGACUCCUCACUUGAGGACAUCUAGGUCGAAAACAAACAAAAAAAAUCACAAAACUUAUGAAAAUAUUCUAUAAUGUAGGAGGAGGCUAUUGCUCUUAAAAUGCAGAGAAAAAUCAUACUUUUGAAAAACAGUUAACUACAAGAAACAGGAAAUCUUUAGAAAACAUUCCCUUGGUGGACUCAAUGAAAUAUAAGAAAACACAAAAUAACAAAUGGAAAGUGAGAUGUAAAAGGCUACUUAAAUGCUUUCUGAGAUGUAAACUGAUACAGUAAGGUUCAGGCUGAGAGAAGAAAAUAAUUGUAAAGAAUAAAAAUGUAACCAAUUUACUGUUUUUGAUAGAGCACAACAGAGAAGUGACACUUCGGAAAAGUAAUUCAGUAACAUGGAAGACAAAUUUGAGAAGCCAUCCCAGAAAGCAGAGGAAAAAGACAAAGCCAAAAUCUGAAAGAGAAAUAAAGUUAUUAACUUGGGGAGGGGAUGGUGAAGAAAAGGCAGAAUAAGAACUAUGCGAGACAGAAAACAAAGAUUCACUUCACAAAAUAGAGGAAAAAUGUCUACAAAGCUUUAAGAAUAAAAAGAAAAAAAGG
rnacentral:lncRNA from 1 species